GCCGGUAUUAGCUCGUAUCAUCACAACUAAAGCAGUAAAAACCGGAUCGUAGUAGUUUUCACGCGAUCAAUGUUGUAUUUAUCAUGUAUAGUAUUUAAACAAAAAUCCAUUCGCCUAGAAUUCUUUUAACAAUGUCGUUGUCUACAGAAGAGAGUAUUUCUUUAAUGAGCAAUCUUAUUUUAAAGGAUAAGGAUAAUAGCUUACCGAUAAAG
rnacentral:lncRNA from 1 species